GGCGGGUGGGGGCGCUGGUGUGCCCGGCGAUUUCAUAGGUCGCGCAAGGCGGGUUCGAUUCCCGCACCCGCUA
rnacentral:tRNA from 1 species